GGACUAACUGAGAUUUUGUCCCUCCCACAGUUGUCCCCCAAAGGGAACGUUACGAUGUGCUGCUUGACGUUUCUUUCCAAAAAGCCUUGGGUAGGAAAUCGUGUGGCUUGCCAGAGCUUCAGACCACUUGCAUGGCAUCUUGUUUCACCUUUGAAACUGGGCUGAAAAAGCUCAGACUAAGACAGGGGCCCUGGCUGGUGGCAAGGGUGAGGAGGGGUUGGUGCUUCAUGUCAAAGGGAGCCUGCAGCUCCCCCCUCCAUCACAGCGAAGCAGGUGUGAUAGUCAAAUCAGCUAAUUGACACCAUUAUGGGAGGAAAAAGAAAGCUCAGACAGCUAAUGUGGGAGAUGCUUUCUGACUUCUGCAAAGGCACUUCUGUUGUGUGUUUUUUUUUUCUUUUUCUUAAAGAUUACCUUCACGAACGAAGAGAGCCCAUUUAAUUUCGAAUUUAAUGACUUUCCACCAUCCCUAAUUCUACCAUUUCCAAGUACAUUAGCUGCAUGAUCUCCAGAUUGCUGGAAAGAUGCCGUCAGGUACCAGACUGAAUGUCAGAUAUAAAAGCUUAAUAAGUGACACGCUUUACAUUUUUGGUGCAAUCGAAUAUAAAAGCUUCCACUCAGUUAAAAUUACCAGAGGUAUUACCGGAGAGAGGUGAAGCCUGACAUUGUGCCGAGGAGGUAUUGCUCGGGCAGUGCACUGCUGCUCCCUGCUUCCGACUGGGGCACGUUUGAGGCUGACACUGUCCAGAGCCAUGUGCCUUCAUCUGCUGGACUCUGUUAAUGCCAUACCACCUUUUUGUCCCAUAGAGCCAUCUGUGUCCUGUCCUCAGACCAUGGGGAGGGAGGGCUGAGCCCCUCUGCAUCUUCAGGACCAAAGGGGAAGGAAGCUGCCUGUGCUUUCAGCUCCUCCUGAGCAUGGCUGGCAGAGUCUUGAACUGGAAAAGUUAUUCGUGCUCAGCUGCAGAUAACAGGAAAAUGCCAUUUCCGUGUUAACAGGCUGCAGGUGAACCUGUACUGCUCGCUCAGCCCUGACAAAAUGGGUGCUUAACCCCAGUAUGCUCACAAGGGCUUUGCUGGGUUGGGCCCUUAUCUGGAUUGCCUUUUAAUCUGGAAGAUGAGCUGCUCCAAGCCCUUCUGCUGGCAUGCAGAAAGGCUUUUCUUUUGAACCGACCUGGCUUUUCAGAACCUAUGAAACAUUUAAGUCCAUGGCUGAGCCGUGCAGGCUGCGCCAGGGCCCUUCUGAUCCCCAAAUUUAUUUCAAAAGCACUAAUAGAUGUUUCAGCAUAUCUGAAUAUUUUUCUCACCGUUUGUGAUUUGCAGCUUUCCCAACUCAGCUUGGUUGUUGUUAAAGGUUUCAGCAGCGAUGUGUCCCGAAAUCUUGUAUUCCAGCUCGGUUGUGACAGAGAUGUAUUGCUCUAGUCAGCAAAGUAUUUGCUUAAGAUCUAAUAAAACAUCCGCACAUCUCA